UCGAUCUCUUGUUCUCUCUCAUCUCUGGCUCUCAGUCAUCUUCUUCUUCUUCGUUUUUCUGGGUUCUCUGUUUCUUCACAUUUUCGCUACUGAGCUUUGUAUUUUGGGGUUCGCUACUCUUCGAUUUCUAUUCAUCUUCUUUUUCUUCGAUUUCUAGGUUCAAUUUUCCUAAAAUCGAUUUUCUAUUCAUCUUCUUCUUCGUUUUCCUAGGUUCGAUUUUCCUAAAAUUUAUUUCCAUUCAUCUUCUAACUCUUCGUUUUUCUGGGUUCGAUUUUCCUAAAAUCGAUUUUUCGCAAAUCAGAAACCCUAGAUUUGUGUUUGAGUCCCUCGAUGUCGGCCAUGAAUGUUUUUCCCAUUACACCUUGCGUUAUUUGAGAGUGAAAAUGGGUUAAUCUUAGCCCUAAUUGACGCACUUGAGCAGGGGUCGUCAUGGCCAGAGCUCUUUUACAAUCCGGCACGGGCCUUGACAUAAUUCUCCAACUAAGUCUCCCUGUUCGAAAUGAACUUGCUUGCUGACAUUUGUUGUGUAGCAGGUUGUUCACAUCAUGUCUCCUACAUUGAGCAAGUGGGAAAUGAAAAGAAGUCUUUUAAGCUGGAUGCAUUUUUAGAAGGAUCAUAUGGGAACAGGGACAAUGCUACAGUAGAGAUCUGUACUGUAUGGAAUUCCACGCCCUCAUCCCCAGACCUAAUUGGUGUUCUAUCAUCAGCAAU